rnacentral:rRNA from 1 species
AGGACGAACGCUGGCGGUGUGCUUAACACAUGCAAGUGGAGCGACGAACCAGGGCUUGCCCUGGGGCAGAGCCGCGAACGGGUGAGUAACACGUGGGUAACCUACCCCGAUGACCGGGACAACCCGAGGAAACUCGGGCUAAUACCGGAUGUGUUCCAUAUUCAUGAGGAAAUGGAAACAAAGGAAGCUUCGGCCUCCGCAUUGGG